rnacentral:rRNA from 1 species
UACGGGGGGGGGCAAGCGUUGUUCGGAAUUACUGGGCGUAAAGGGCUCGUAGGUGGCCAACUAAGUCACACGUGAAAUCCCUCGGCUUAACCGGGGAACUGCGUCUGAUACUGGAUGGCUUGAGUUUGGGAGAGGGACGCGGAAUUCCAGGUGUAGCGGUGAAAUGCGUAGAUAUCUGGAGGAACACCGGUGGCGAAGGCGGCGUCCUGGACCAAUACUGACACUGAGUGAGCGAAAGCCAGGGGAGCAAACGGG